rnacentral:misc_RNA from 1 species
GAAAUGCGAUAAGUAAUGUGAAUUGCAGAAAUCAGUGAAUCAUCGAAUCUUUGAACGCACCUUGCGCUCCUUGGUAUUACUUGGAGCAUGCCUGUUUGAGUAUCAUGAAAUCUUCAAAGUAAAUCUUUUGUUAACUCAAUUGGUUUCUACUUUGGUAUUGGAGGUCUUUGCAGCUUCACACCUGCUCCUCUUUGUUCAUUAGCUGGAUCUCAGUGUUAUGCUUGGUUCCACUCGGCGUGAUAAGUUAUCUAUCGCUGAGGACACUGUAAAAGGUGGCCAAGGUAAAUGCAGAUGAACCGCUUCUAAUAGUCCAUUGACUUGGACAAUACUUUUAUGAUCUGAUCUCAAAUCAGGUAGGACUACCCGCUGAACUUAAGC